GCUUUCAUGACCCUCUUCACAGUGUAUAUAUUAAAUAAUUGCGGAGAUGAAGAUACGCUCUAACGGAUCGCAAUCAAAUGCGGUUCUCCCAUAAAACAAAUUCUCACGCAAUGAAAAUGGUAAAAAGUUAGUCCUUCGUUGAACAGCCAAAGUAAUAGAGAAGCAAUGCAUUGUAACCACAACUGUUUAGAUCGAAUUAUCUGAAUUUGGAGGAAAAAUCGUUGCUAUAUUGUUCGCUUAUUUUUAU